GAUGAACGCUGGCGGCGUGCCUAAUACAUGCAAGUCGAGCGAAUGGAUUAAGAGCUUGCUCUUAUGAAGUUAGCGGCGGACGGGUGAGUAACACGUGGGUAACCUGCCCAUAAGACUGGGAUAACUCCGGGAAACCGGGGCUAAUACCGGAUAACAUUUUGAACCGCAUGGUUCGAAAUUGAAAGGCGGCUUCGGCUGUCACUUAUGGAUGGACCCGCGUCGCAUUAGCGAGUUGGUGAGGUAAAGGCUCACCAAGGCAACGAUGCGAGGCAGACCUGAGGGAGGGAGCGGCCACACUGGGAAUGAGACACGGCCCAGACUCCUACGGGAGGCAGCAGUAGGGAAUCUUCCGCAAUGGACGAAAGUCUGGCGGAGCAACGCCGCGUGAGUGAUGAAGGCUUUCGGGUCGUAAAACUCUGUUGUUAGGGAAGAACAAGUGCUAGUUGAAUAAGCUGGCACCUUGACGGUACCUAACCAGAAAGCCACGGCUAACUACGUGCCAGCCGCCGCGGUAA
rnacentral:rRNA from 1 species